UACGUAGGGUGCAAGCGUUGUCCGGAAUUAUUGGGCGUAAAGAGCUCGUAGGCGGUUUGUCGCGUCGGCUGUGAAAGCCCGGAGCUCAACUCCGGGUCUGCAGUCGAUACGGGCAGACUUGAGUGUUGCAGGGGAGACUGGAAUUCCUGGUGUAGCGGUGAAAUGCGCAGAUAUCAGGAGGAACACCGGUGGCGAAGGCGGGUCUCUGGGCAACAACUGACGCUGAGGCGACGAAAGCGUGGGGAGCGAAUAGG
rnacentral:rRNA from 1 species